GAUGAACGCUAGCGGCAGGCCUAAUACAUGCAAGUCGAACGAGAUUAAGAGGCUUGCUUCUUAUGAAAGUGGCGCACGGGUGCGUAACGCGUAUGCAACCUACCUUAAUCAGGGGGAUAGCCCGAAGAAAUUCGGAUUAAGACCGCAUAAAAACACAGGAUAGCAUUAUCCAAUGUUCAAAUAUUUAUAGGAUUAAGAUGGGCAUGCGUGUCAUUAGCUAGUUGGCGGGGUAACGGCCCACCAAGGCGACGAUGACUAGGGGAUCUGAGAGGAUGACCCCCCACACUGGUACUGAGACACGGACCAGACUCCUACGGGAGGCAGCAGUAAGGAAUAUUGGUCAAUGGAGGGAACUCUGAACCAGCCAUGCCGCGUGCAGGAAGACAGCCCUCUGGGUCGUAAACUGCUGUUAUUCGGGAAUAAACCUUUCUACGUGUAGGAAGCUGAAUGUACCGAAGGAAUAAGGAUCGGCUAACUCCGUG
rnacentral:rRNA from 1 species